UACGUAGGGUGCGAGCGUUGUCCGGAAUUAUUGGGCGUAAAGAGCUCGUAGGCGGCUUGUCGCGUCGAAUGUGAAAACUCGGGGCUCAACUCCGAGCUUGCAUUCGAUACGGGCAGGCUAGAGUUCGGUAGGGGAGACUGGAAUUCCUGGUGUAGCGGUGAAAUGCGCAGAUAUCAGGAGGAACACCGGUGGCGAAGGCGAGUCUCUGGACAGCAACUGACGCUGAGGCACGAAGGCCAGGGGAGCAAACGGGG
rnacentral:rRNA from 1 species